GUCUACGGCCAUACCACCCUGAACGCGCCCGAUCUCGUCUGAUCUCGGAAGCUAAGCAGGGUCCGGGCCCGGUUAGUACUUGGAUGGGAGACCGCCUGGGAAUACCGGGUGCUGUAGGCU
rnacentral:rRNA from 1 species